rnacentral:rRNA from 2 species
UGUGCCUACAAUCCGUCGGAGCCACCUUGUUGUGGUGACGGCGUGCCUUUUGAAGAAUGAGCCUGCGAGUUAGUGCCGUGUCGCGAGGUUAACCCGUGUGGGGAAGCCGUAGCGAAAGCGAGUCUGAACAGGGCGUUCAGUGGCGCGGUCUAGACCCGAAGCGAAGUGAUCUACCCAUGGCCAGGUUGAAGCGUGUGUAAGAGCACGUGGAGG